rnacentral:rRNA from 1 species
AUUGAACGCUGGCGGCAGGCUUAACACAUGCAAGUCGAGCGAGCGGCGGACGGGUGAGUAAUGUCUGGGAAACUGCCUGAUGGAGGGGGAUAACUACUGGAAACGGUAGCUAAUACCGCAUACCAUCAGAUUUGCCCAGAUGGGAUUAGCUAGGCGGUGGGGUAAUGGCUCACUUAGGCGACGAUCCCUAGCUGGUCUGAGAGGAUGACCAGCCCCACUGGAACUGAGACACGGUCCAGACGCCUACGGGAGGCAACAGUGGGGAAUAUUGCACAAUGGGCGCAAGCCUGAUGCAGCCAUGCCGCGUGUGUGAAGAAGGCCUUCGGGGUGUAAAGCACUUUCAGCGAGGAGGCGUUACUCGCAGAAGAAGCACCGGCUAACUCCGUGCCAGCAGCCGCGGUAAUUC